UGACCCAACAGAACAGAUUUCAUUAGCACACCCAUAUCCCCCAGGUUAAUUCCUCUAAGCAAUGCACACGAGAGAUUGGAAUUUUCCUGCCUUUUUUUUUUAUUUUAACUGUUCUAAAUUAGAUAAUUGCUUAGAGCCCUGACAGAUUUACAAGAGUAAUUGCCUAAUUUUAUGAUGCAGCGCUAUUGAAAACAAAGAUUACUUGAUCUAAAUCACGUCUUGAAAAGGAAAGUCUUGCUGAAAGUGCUUGAAUAACACCUGAGAAAUACACUACCUAAAGUCCAGCAGGUCGCUGGGGAAGAACCAGUUUAGCAGCUGGCCAAGCCAGCUCCUGGGAGUAAUCACAGAGAGCUGGAGAUGCACGAAACAUGAGACCCCUCGAUACACAGAGAAGGAAAGGAAGUGGAGGGCAACCGAGAGGACACAAUCAUUCAAAACAACGGCUCGUUCCAGCACUAUCGACCCCGAGAUGAAUUCGAUCCACUGUAACUGGUGCAAGGCACUCCAUCCUCUCUCUUUUUGACUGACAGCACUUUUGGAUGAUUAAAGCCCUUGGGUAGUCUAGAAGAAGUGCCUAUACUUGAAAAAAAAAUAGUAAAAUACAAAAUUAAAGGAAGUUUUCCUUUUGCCACUGUCA